UACGUAGGGGGCAAGCGUUGUCCGGAUUUAUUGGGCGUAAAGAGCGUGUAGGCGGCCUUACAGGUCAGCUGUGAAAACUCGAGGCUCAACCUCGAGACGUCGGUUGAAACCGUAAGGCUAGAGUCCGGAAGAGGAGAGUGGAAUUCCCGGUGUAGCGGUGAAAUGCGCGGAUAUCGGGAAGAACACCCGUGGCGAAGGCGGCUCUCUGGGACGGUACUGACGCUGAGACGCGAAAGCGUGGGGAGCGAACAGG
rnacentral:rRNA from 1 species